rnacentral:rRNA from 1 species
GUUGGAGUCUGUGUGGAAGGCGGUGUCCAAGUCCCUUGGAACAGGGCGCCCAGGAGGGUGAGAGCCCCGUGGGAUGCCGGCGGAAGCAGUGAGGCCCUUCUGACGAGUCGAGUUGUUUGGGAAUGCAGCUCCAAGCGGGUGGUAAAUUCCAUCUAAGGCUAAAUACUGGCGAGAGACCGAUAGCGAACAAGUACUGUGAAGGAAAGAUGAAAAGCACUUUGAAAAGAGAGUGAAACAGCACGUGAAAUUGUUGAAAGGGAAGGGUAUUGCGCCCGACAUGGGGAUUGCGCACCGCUGCCUCUCGUGGGCGGCGCUCUGGGCUUUCCCUGGGCCAGCAUCGGUUCUUGCUGCAGGAGAAGGGGUUCUGGAACGUGGCUCUUCGGAGUGUUAUAGCCAGGGCCAGAUGCUGCGUGCGGGGACCGAGGACUGCGGCCGUGUAGGUCACGGAUGCUGGCAGAACGGCGCAACACCGCCCGUCUUGAAACACGGACC